GCCUGAACGCCGCUUUCGCUCCCGUUUCGCUUUUGCGUACGAGAAGUGGAGCUCUCAGGGCUAUAGAGUGUAUUUACCUGCGCGGAUCAAGGAGGCAGGCGGGACUCACACAGCCGCAGGUAUUACAGAGCAUUCUGCUUCAGUUGAAAGAAAACCACGAAACCACAUUAACACCUGCUCCCAUGCUGGCUGCUAAGGACACCUGCGUACACUGUUAACGGAUGGGGGAACCCACAAGAUGUACGAAGCCAACGUAGGUGGCACGUCCUGGAUGGCACCUCAUGACAGUCCCUGUUUCCGACUCACGAUAACUGCUGGGACGGAUGCGAUCCACCAAGGAACUCCAAGUACGCAGGUCCUCGCCAUGCCGCGCAAUGUGGUAUCAUCAAUUUUGUUCUGAAUUAUAACAAAACUUUGUCGGAUUAAUAUUUAGAGAGUGAAAUACCACGUCAAUGGGACAGAAAGGGCUUCCCCAGGCAACCUCUACCUUUUAGGGAGAUAAGAGGCUGGUAGAACAACAACCUUCGAUUAACCCUUUUCUGUCUGUUCUUUUACUUGCCCAAUAAACCUCCCAGAAUGGG